rnacentral:lncRNA from 1 species
UGCCAUUGUCCUGAAUUCACCUACUAAUUUUACCCUCAGAGAAAGAGAGAGUCUUUGGAGAGUUGUGAGGAGAUAAGUGACAUAAACUGGCAUGUUCUGAAAGAAUCACUCUGGAUGCUGUGUGGAGAAAACACUGAAAAGUCUUUAUAGGGGGAGAAUAAUUGACUCCAUUCAAGUGUUCGCUCCUGUUUCAAUCAACUAUGGCUGAAGAGUGAGGAGACAUUUGGAAUAAAUAUGGCUUCUGGGGGCCCAUUCCUAUGGAUCAGCAGCUGGCUUCUGGAGGCCCAUUCCUGUGAAUCGUCGAUCUCAUAGAAGAUAAUAUUGUUAGAAGGCUUACCUCAUUGAUGCUGAACAUCCUAAAAAGCUUCUGCUGCUUUGAGUCACUGAAAAAGACCAAGAAACAUGAAUUUAAAAAAAAAUUUCAAAUGUUAUAAAAUAAAUAAUAUGAACUCAUUAUACCUACAAUGAAUAAUUUAAAUUCUUCUUUGGUAGUCCAGGUUUAGAAACUAUGAAAACCCUAGAAGAAAACCUAGGCAAUGCCAUUCAGGACAUAGGCACGGACAAAGAUUUCAUGACGAAGACGCCAAAAACAACUGCAACAAAAGCAAAAAUUGACAGAUGGGAUCUCAUUAAACUAAAGAGCUUCCAUACAGCAAAAGAAGCUACCAUGAGAGUGAACAGACAACCUAUAGAAAGGGAGAAAAAUUUUGCAAUCUGUUCAUCUGACAAAGGUCUAAUAUCCAGCAUCUACAAGGAACUUAAAUAAAUUUACAAGAAAAAAACAAACCCAUUAGAAAAUGGGCAAAGGACAUGAAAAGAUACUUCUCAAAAGACAUACAUGUGGCCAACAAUCAUACAAAAAAAACCUCAACAUCACUGAUGAUUAGAAAAAUGCUAAUCAAAACCACAACGAGAUACCAUCUCAUACCUGUCAGAAUGGCUAUUAAUAAAAAGUUAAAAAACAACAGAUGCUGGUGAGGUUGUUGAGAAAAAGGAAUACUGUUAUACUGUUGGUGGGAAUGUAAAUUAGUUCAACCAUUGUGGGAGACAGUGUGGCAUUUCCUCAAAGACCUAGAGGCAGAAAUACCAUUUGACUCAGCAAUCACGUUACUGGAUAUAUACCCAAAGGAAUAUAAAUCAUUCUAUUAUAAAGAUACAUGCAUGCGCAUGUUCACUGCAGCAUUAUUCACAAUAGCAAAGACAUGGAAUCAACCCAAAUGCCCAUCAAUAACACACUAGAUAAAGAAAAUGUGGUAUAUAUACACCAUGGAAUACUAUUCAGCCAUAAAAAGGAAUGAAAUCAAGUCCUUUGCAGGAACAUGAAUGAAGCUGAAGGCCAUCAUCUUCAGCAAACUAACACAGGAACAGAAAAUAAAAUACCACAUAUUCUCACUUACAACUGGGAGCUGAAUGAUGAGAACAUAUGGACACAUAUAGGGGCACAACACACACUGGGGCCUGUUGGAGGGUGCUGGGGGGAGGAGGCAGAGCAUCAGGAAGAAUAGCUAAUGGAUUCUGGGCUUAAUACCUAAGUGAUGAGAUGAUCUGUGCAGCAAACUACCAUAGUACAUGUUUACCUAUGUAACAAACCUGUACGUCCUGCACAUGUACCCCUGAACAUUAAAAAAGUGUGUUUAAAUUGUGAGAUAAGGAUUCAAGAGGGCCUCUUGCUUCACUAUUGUUCACUUUCCUAGCUUUAAGUUUUCUCUUCUAUUUAUCAUAAGUAUUUAUCCUUAAAUGCCAUGUCAAAUGAUGACUGGUUAAUUAAUUAUUAUUAUUUUUUAGUUCAAAGGGUCCCUUCUAAUGUUAUUUAUCUUUUAACAAGGGAAGACAGGAAUAUUUUCAAGAUCCAAGUAUUUAAAAAGGUGGAAGUGAGAUAGGAUCGGGGUUUGGAAUGAAGUAGAAAGAAAAGGAAACAUGUAAAAAUGUAAAAUCACCAUGUAGGAGCCCAACAUAUCCAAUAUAAGCUAUACUGCUUUGGGUUAUCUAGCUCAUAAUUUUUCUUUGCCUAAUUUCUCUACUUAGAAAUACCAUGUCACUUACGGUGUGUUUUUAAUUGAGGAAAGUUAAUUACUAACUAUUGUUUUGUAAAACUCAUAUGCCAAUUUAUUCUAGGCUAAAAUCAACUUGGCAGAUAAUUAUUUUUAAAUAACAAACAAAAGACCUUUCCUUUCUGAUGCUUUUCCCAAAACAUGCAAUAUAAACCAAAGAGUAAAACAAAAUAAUGUGUUACACUUCUCUUCAACUAGUCUACCAUCACUUCUGUUUAACUGGUUUGAUACAUUCAUGAAAAAUUUCCUUUAAAAGACAUAUUCUUCUAAAACUAAUUUAAAAUAAAACUCUUAUUAAUAUUUUCAAUUCCUACCACUAUCAAUUAUUUGGAAUUAGACCAGGUUAAGAAUUUAAAACUUUGCCUAUCAUUUUGUAUUUUAAAGUCAUGGGUAUUGAUAAGGGACUAAUAUUUAGGAAUUAUUUUAUGUCUUUCAUUUCCUUAUCUUCUCAGUUAACAGGUAUGCUGAGCCUUUGCUAUUUUCACAAUAAACUGAUUACUUGGUUGAUUUAGGUAGCAAAAAAGAUAAUGAACCUGUAUCAAAUUUCUACUUACAUUAUUUUAUGCAUAGUAAAUAAAAAUUUCAUUGCUGUGCAUCCUCUUACUAGUAACUACAAAUUUUAUAAAAAUACAAUUUUUUAAUUAUUUUGCCACUGAAGCUGCAAUGACUAGCAGAAUGUCUGGCAUAUAACAAGUGCAGAAUUAUUUUUAAUAGAUUUAUUGAGGUAUAUUAAUAUACAAUAAAAUGCCCACAUUUAAAUUGUUUUGACAUUUUGACAAUUGUUUUGACACACAAAAUAAGUUUUGACACAUGUACAGACUCAUAAAGCCCUCACCAAAAUCAAGGUAAUCAACAUAUUCAUUACUCCCAAAAGUUUCCUCAUGCUUUCUUUGUAAUCUCGCCCAGCAAUCACCCCGCACCCCAUCCCCAUGCAACCAGUGAUCUGUUUUCUGUCACCAUAGAUUAGUUUGCAGUUUCUAGAAUUUGAUAUAAGUGAAAUCGAACAGUAUAUAUUGUUUUCUGCCUGGCUUCUUUCACUCAGCUUAAUUAUUUUGAGAUUCAUUUGUCAUGUGCGAAACCAUAGCUUAUUUAUUUUUAUUCCUUUUGUUGACUAGUAUUCUAUUGUAUGGCUGUACUACAGUUUGUUUAUCCAUUCAUCUGUUGAUGAACAUUUGAGUCGUUCCCAGUUUUCGGCUUUUACAGAUUAAGCUACUGUGAUGAUGGGUACAUAAGUCUUUAUAUAGACAUACUUUCAUUUUUCUGGGGUGACACUUCAGAGUAGGAUGGCUGGAUCAUACAGUAGGUGUAUGUUUGACUUUUUAACAGACUGCCAAACUGUUCUCCAAAGUGAUUCUACUAUUUAACAUUUUUAUCUGCAUUGUAUAGCAUUCUCCCUUCCUCUCACUGUUGGUAUGGUCAGUCUUUUGAAUUUUAGCCACUCUCAUAGGUAUACAGUGGUAUCUCAUUGUGGUUUUGUUUUUCCCUAAUGUUUAAUGAUGUUUAGCAUUCAUACAUUUUUUUUUUUUGCCAUCUGUUCAUCAUUUUUAGUGAAGUGUCUUCAUGUCUUUUUCCCAUUUGGUAUAGGAAGGGAGUUGGUUGUUUUCUUAUUAGUUAGCUUUAAGAGCUCUUUGUAUAUUCUGGAUAUUAGUCCUUUAUGAGACAUACGAUUUCAAAUAUUUUCUCCCAUUCAGUGGCUUAUCUUUUCAGUCCUUUAACAGUGUCUUUCAAAGAGCAGAAGUUUAUGAUUUUGCUGAAGUCCAAGUUAUCAGUUUUAUAUGGAUUGUAUUUUGAGUCAACCCUAAAAAAAAAAAAUUGCCUGACUGAAGGUCAUAAAGAUUUUCUCCUAUAUUUUCUUCUAGAAGUUUUAUAGUUUUAGGUUUUAUAUUUAGGUCUGUGUUCCAUUUUGAGUUAAUUUGAAGGGUUUUUUUGUAUAUGGAUGUCCGAUUGUUUCAGCAUUAUUUGUUGAAAAUAUGACUCUUUCUCCACCGAAUUGCUUUUGCGUCUUUGUGGAAAAUUCAGUUAUUUAUACACAAGUGGGUCUGUUUCUGAACUCUGUCUCCUGUUCCAUUGAUCUAUCUGUUAUUUAUGCCAAUACCACACUGUCUUGAUUACUGUGGUUAUAUACUACUCUUAAAAUAUUCAACUUUCUUCUGUGUUUUCAAAAUUGUUUCAGAUCUUCUAGUUUCUUUGUUUUUCCAUAUGAACUUUAGAAUCAGCUUAUCUCUUUUUGUUUGUUUGUUUUUUGAGAGAGAGCCUCACUCUGUCACCCAGGCUGGAAUGCAGUGCCAAUGAUCACGGCUCACCACAGCCUCAACCUCCUGGGCUCAGGUGAUCCUCCCACCUCAGCCUCCCGAAUAGCUGGGACUAUAGGCACACACCACCAUGCCCAACUAAUUUUUGUAGUUUUUGUAGAGACAGGGCUUUGCCAUGUUGCCCAGGCUGGUCUCAGACUCCUGGGCUCAAGCAAUCCUCCCACGUCCACCUCGCAAAGUGCCAGGAUUACAGGCAUAAGCCACCAUGCCUGUCCCAGCUUAUCAAUUUCUACCAAAAAAAAAAAAUUGCCAGAAUUUUGCUUGACACUUUUUUUAUUCUUUAGGUCAAUCCAAGGAAAAUUGACUUAUUAUAACCAUAUUGAGACUUCUGACUCAUGGCUCAAUAUAUUUUUAUUAAAUAAAAGAAGAAUUUUUGAAACGGGUUUUGGAAUAAUUUUCAGAAGUUCUAGGAAAAUUAGAAAUAUCAUGUUUAACUGCUGAAAGAAAUCAUAGAUGACACAAACAAAUGAAAACACAUCUCAUGCUUGGGGUGGGGGGAGGAAAUCAAUAUUGUUAAAAUUACCAUACUGCCCAAAGCAAUCUACAGAUUCAAUGCAAUUCCUAUGAAAAUACCAUCAUCAUUCUUCACAGAACUAGAAAAAAAAUCCUAAAAUUCAUAUGGAACCUGCAUAGCCAAAGCAAUACAAAGCAAAAAGAACAAAUCUGGAGGCAUCACAUCACCCAACUUCGAACUAUACUACAAGGUUAUUGUUACCAAAACAGCAUGGUACUUGUAUAAAAAUAGGCACAUAGACCAAUGGAACAGAAUAGAGAACUCAGAAAUAAAGCCAAAUACUUAUAGCCAACUGAUCUUUGACACAGCAAACAAAAACAUAAAAUGGAGAAAGGACACCCUAUUCAACAAAUGGUGCUGGGAUAAUUGGCAAGCCACAUGUAGGAUGAUGAAACUGGAUCCUCAUCUCUUACCUUAUACAAAAGCCAACUCAAGAUGAAUCAACGACUUAAAUCUAAGGGCUGAAACCAUAAAAAUUCUAGAAGACAACAUCAGAAAAGCCCUUCUAGACAUUGGCUUAGGCAAAGAAUUCGUGACCAGGAACCCAAAGCAAAUGCAACAAAAACAAAAAUAGGUAAAUGGGACAUAAUUAAACCAAAAAGCUUCUGUACAGCAAAAGAAAGAAUCAGCAGAGUAAACACAUAACCCACAGACUAGGAGAAAAUAUUCACAAAGCAUGAAUCUGAGAGAGGACUAAUAUCCAGAAUCUAUAAGGAACUCAAACAAAUCAGCAAGAAAAGAAAUAAAUAAUCCCAUCAAAACGUGGGCAAAGAACAUGAAUAAAUAAUUCUCAAAAAAGAUAUAUAAACAGUCAACAAAUAUAUGAAAACAUGCUCAACAUCACUAAUUAUCAGGUAAAUGCAAAUUAAAAUUGCAAUGAGAUACCCCCUUACUUCUGCAAGAAUGGCCAUAAUAUGAAAAAGACACUUGCACAUGCAUGUUUAUAGCAGCAAAAUUCAUAAUUGCAAAAAUAUGGAGCCAACAUACCUGCCCAUCAAUCAAUGAGUGGAUAAAGAAAAUGUGGUAUAUAUACACCAUCGAAUGUGGUAUAUAUGCACUCAGUCAUAAAAAGAAAUGAGAUAAUGUAUGUUGCACCAACUUGGAUGGAGCUGGAGGCCAUUAUUCUACAUGAAGUAACCCUCAGGAAUGAAAAACCAAAUAAUGUAUGUUCUCACUUAUAAGUAGGAGCUAAGCUGUGAGAAUGCAAAGGCUUAAGAAUGAUAUCAUGGGCUUUGGAGACUUGUGGGGAAGGAUGGGAGGGGGGUGAGAGAUAAAAGACUACACAUUGGGUACAGUGUACACUGCUCAGGUGACAGGUGCACCAAAAUCUCAGAAAUCACCACUAAAGAGUUUAUCACUGUAACCAAAAACCACCUGUUCACCAAAAGCUAUUGAAAUUUUAAAAAGAGAUAAAAUAAAAAUGCAUAGUUUAAAAAUGUAGAUAGUAUUCAUAUGGUUCAAAACUCCAAAAUUAUAGAAGAAUACAGAGCAUCCCUCCCACUCUUGCCUCCCAGGAACCCAAUUCUCAUCCUCCAUGAUCUGCACAUUAAAAGUUUCCCCAUUCAUUUUUAUGGCCCUGGAUGUAGGGCCAUAAAAUGGCUUGUAAGGAUGUUCCAUAAUUUAUUUAAUCAGUGUCUUAGUGAGGGACAUUUAGAUUAUUUCCAAUUCUUUGCCACUACAAAAAUUCCACAAUAAAUAACCUUGUACAAUCAUAAUUUCCUACAUGUAUGUACAUAGCUGAAGAAUAAAUUCUUUAAAAUGAGAUUGACACCUCAAAGGGUAUAGAUAUUUAUACUUUUGAUAGUUACUGCCAAAUUGCCAUCCAAAGGCAAUAGAAAAUGUAUAUUCUCAAUUUUUAGAUCUUUGUAAAUCUCAUAGAUGAAAAAUGUCAUCAGAGCACAGUUUUUUAUUUCUUUUACUAUGAAUGAGGUGAGUAUAUUUUGAUAUAUUUAAGAACAAUUUAUAUUUCUUUGUAUGAACUACUUAAAUGUUCUUACUUUAGUUUCUUCAUUUGUACCUCAGUUUCCUCAUAGGGUUGUUGUAAAGAUAAAAUAAUUCGUAUGCAGAAAUAUCAAGAACAGUGCCUAGAACAUAAUAAGCACCAUGUAAGCGGUUACUCUUAUUGCCAUCAUCAUCAUUUGUUCAUAUCCUUUAUCCAUUUUUCUACCGGGUUGUUGAUCUGUCCUCCUGUUUUUGUAGAAAUUACUGAAGUGUAAGAAGGGUGGCCACAUAUCACACAUCUCAGUUUGUCUGAGAAAGUCCCAAUGUAUGCCUGUUGUCUUAGCAUAAUAAUUAAUAAGGCCCCUGCACACUUUCAAAUGGUAGUGAUUUGAAUGAUAUGGUCACUUUCAAAUGGUAGUGAUUUGAAUUACAUGGUGAAGUAAAUUAAAACUGCAUUUGGAAUCUCCAAAAAAAAGACAAAUACAUAGAAACAGAGAGUAGAAUGGUGGUUACUAGAGGUGGGGAUUGGGAACACACAAAGGGGAUGGGGAGAUGGAGGUAAAAGGGUGCAAAGCUGUAGUUGUAUGUAGGAUGAAUAAGUCUAGAGAGUAAGACUAAAGAUCCAAUGUAUAGCAUGAGGACUAUAGUUAAUAGUAUUGCACUGCAUGCUGGAAAUUUGCUGAGAGAAUAGAUUUCAGGUGCUUUUAACACACAACGAGGGAAAGGUAACUAUGUGAGAAGAUGUGUAUAUUAACUUGCUUGACUGCAGUAACCAUUCCACUGUGUAUAUCAAAACAUCAUGUGGUCAGGAACAAUGACUCAUGCCUGUAAUCCCAUUGCUUUAGGAAAGGCAAGGCAGGGAGGAUCCCUUGAGACCAGAAGUUCAAGACCAGCCUGGGCAACACAGCAAGACCCCCAUCUCUAAAAAAGAAAAAAAAACUUAAUUAGCCAGGCAUGGUGACAUGCACCUGUGGUCCUAGCUACUCAGGAGGCUGAAGGGGGAUGAUCACUUGAGCCCAGGAGUUUGAGGUUACAGUGAACUAUGAUUGCGCUGCUACACUCCAGCCUGGACAACACAGCAAGGCCCUAUCUCUAAAAAGAAAAAUUUUUUAAAAAUAAUUAAAUAUAUAUAAUUUUUAAAAAAGAAAUAUGUUUAUUAAAAUAUGGUAGUAAAUUUUGAUCUGGCUUUUCAUAAAACAUUUAUUCUAAUUAUCUUACAAAAACUUUGGGGGAGAGAUAACAGUCAACUUUAGGAAUUAUAUGGAAUUAUAUGGUGAUUACUUCAUACUUGGACAUAUAAAACCUUGUAAUUUCAGAGCUAAUAUGGGAAUAUGUUCUACCUUCAGGAAAAGAAAAAAAUGGGAAGUCAGUGACAAACUAUUAAAAUCUAAAAAGAGACUGAUGUACAUUUAAUAAAAGAAGUGUAAAUUUAGCUUCCUGCAUUUAGAAAAAUUUCACUUUUUCUGGCCCCUUAGAAACAAUUUACAUGUAUACCAUUUAUUCACAUUUGUACUUUCUUAACUUUUUGAAACACUUUCAGUCCGUAAUUUCUUUUUAUUCACACAACUUUGUGAGGUAGGAAUGGUAAGUCGUCAUUAUCUGACAGCUAGGAAACCAAGGAACCUAGCAGAUAGCAGAUCACUUCAAGUCACAGAGAAAGCUAGCAAACACUGCUUCUCGAUCACCUAAUUCUCUUCCAGAAUGUCUCAGCACUAGCCACCUCUGUGCAAUAAAAAAAUACAACUCACUUCAGCGAGUUCAAAUAGAAAAGGCAUCCCAGAUCUCCAGAAGGAUCAGAGAGGCAGACUUGGAGACUACGCAGCCCAGAUCCCCACAUAAGUCGACCCAGCAACUACUCUGGGAAAGACCCAUUGCCCCUAUUAUUUGGCUUAUAAAGCAAAUGUUAGACACUGGAAGGUAGACCCUUGGGCUUGGUGAUCCUAAAAGAACUACACCUCCACUCUCCCUCAACAGGCCAAAAGAUUCCCUAUGGCUUCUAUUUCGUCAUUUUGCUCUCUUCCAAAUAGACACUUCAUUCAGAGACUAUGGUUAGCAGAGUCUAGGUCACUUCUCUGAGCCCGCAUUCAGAAUGUAAGAAAUCUCCCAAGGUAAAAAUGAUGUUUGAAAGGAAUGAGUAGACUCAACAUGGUAAGGUACAUCUCAUAAAGCUUUCUCAAAAUCAAUGUGAGUCAUAGAAUUACUGUGGUUUGGGGACUGAAAGGGAUCUUUCCAAUUGCCAGUAUUUUAUAAAUUUUAGGCUGUGAUUCAUUAGAGGGCCAUAAAAUCAACGUAGUACACCCUAUAGUUUUAAAAAACUAAAAAUAGAAUGGAAAAUACCACCAUGCACUGCAUUAGUGAAGAUAAGUAUUGCUUGGUGAAACUUUUGUCCUCAUUAUAUAUGUGGGUAUAAAUUUAUAUAUAUAUAUUUAUAAUAUAUAUAUAUGUAGAGUACAUAUAUAUAUAUACAUGUAGCGUAUAUGUCUAAGUGUCCUGUGCCAUCAGGUAAUAUGUAUUUCUUACUAGAGUCACAGUAAAAAAAAAAUUGAAAAACACUAGUCAAAUCCAAUCUCUUCAUUUUACAUUUGACAGAGGAUAAAUAAGGCUCAGAGAACCUUGCUCUGUUGGUUAAUGCAAGGCUGGAAUUAGGACACAGAAAAUUUUAGUCCUACAUUUCAUUGUAAGGACAUUAUCACUUAGAAGAAGUGUACUUCUUUUUUAUGUAGAUCUAUUCCUACAUUAGCCCUGUUAUGAUUAUCAGAUAUAUUUCAUUAAUUAGUAUAUCACAAAAUAGUAUGUUUUAUAAUUGUAUUUUGAGGUAAGCAUUAAUUAAUGAUUGUCACUUGGUUAACACCAGUCUAUUAACUUUUGAAAGAUAACAAAUCUAUGUGUUAUUUUGAAUACUUUUAAUGUUCGCAGUUAAAUUAUGAAUUGCAGGGAAGUCAUUGAAAUAGUAGUUAAAGACAUAAAUUUUUAAAGAAAAUAACCCUUUUAAUUUUUAAUCAAUAGAAGGAUUUUUAAGUUGUAAUCUGCCAUAUUGAAUAGAAAUAUAUCACUAAAAAUAUUUUUCUUGUUAGUUCUCCACUGUUUGUCUCUAUCAAAACAUUAAAUACGGAAUUUUCCAAAGAAAGUUUCUAUGAUUUGAAAUAAAAUAUGAAAAACAAAAGGCUUAACAAUUUCUCUAUAAUGUGCUCAACUAAAGAUACAUCUACUUUUUAAAAUUCUGAAUACAAAAAAUCAUUUAAACUUCAUGGAUAUUUUUAUAUUCAUGGGUAAGAAUUUUGGAAACAGUGGUAAAUAUUUUCAAAAUGACAUAGAUUUUACUUUUCCAGUCCUCAUUUUAAUUGAAUUCCUAAAGAUUCUAUUUCUAAAUAGUCAUGAACCAAAGAUUUGUCCAGCUUGGAAUACAGCUGUAUCUUCAAUAAUAAAGCUGAUCAAGUCUUUUUGCACAAUUGACAUACACUGUUGUUUUAACAUUUUUAUGUUUUAGAAACAGAAGUUUAAUAUUAAUACUUUUAUUAUGCAACAUUAAAGUCUAAUUGCUUUUAUGAUUUUUAUAAUAAAGAGGGCCAAAGCAAAGUAGAUAAUACCAAGUCACUGAAGAAUAAAAAUAAAUAAUGCCUUAGAUUAUUCAAAGAAGCCCAAUUUCUUUUUUUUCUUUCUUUCUUUUUUUUGUUUGAGACAGGGUCCCACUCUGUCACCCAGGCUGGAGUACAGCGGCACAAUCAUGGCUCACUGCAGCCUCGACCUUCUGGUCUCAAGUGAUCCUCCCACCUCAGCCUCCCAAAGUGCCUGGAUUACAAGUGUGAGCCACCAAAUUUGGCCAAGAACCCCAACUUCUAUUAUGUAGUCUUCUCUCUUCUACAGCAACACUCAAGAGGGUCAGAAUGAAAUGUACAACACUUUUACAAAGCACACCCAGAAUCUACGGGUUACCUCAGUGCCUCAUCCCAGAUUUUGAUAUGGAUUUUUAAGUUGACUUUUCAUCACCCAUUAAUUUUUUCAAACUCACACUGGGAAUAGAACAUAUUUUAUUACUGCAAUAUGUUGACUCUUUACACCCUUUGUAGGAAUUUGUGUUACUUAUAAAGAAUAUAACUGUAAACAAAGAUGACAAGGUAUUUUUCUCACCAAAAACAUUUUUUCUGUACUGAGUGGUUCUUGAACAAAGGAAGCUUACUUGACCUACCUAAUGUGUAAGGAAUUAGGUACAGAAGCUGGUUAGGUAAGGCAAAGAAUGAGGAUGAGAAAUUUACUUAUCAGGGGUUUAGAGCGGUCAUUAGAAAAGCCUCUACUUCCCAGACUGGUUUGUCCUGCUCAGUGAAGAGUGUUUUAUUCCAACAUCCUCUUUCCCUAACAGGCAUUUAAAAUAAUGAGAGAAUUUUUUAAAACAAGAUAUUUACAGUAAAUAAAAACCUGUCACCACAAAGUGGGGAAAGUUGCUGACAUUUUCCUGGGCAUAGGAUAUGCUCAUUGAAUAUGGCACCAAGCCUGCUUCCUUCAGUGAAUCCAUUUUAUCAGCAAUUAGGACUGUUGUUUCACUUAAAUGGAGAAUUCCAUUAUGACUCCUCAGCAACCUUAACAGAUAGAAAGCUUUUUGUAAUAUUGCUAACUACACAGGAGGAAAGUAGUUAUAAACUCCCUUUUGUGCUGUGGUGGAUAGUCAGUGGAAAAAAAAUCACCUUAAAAUAUUUCUCAGGACAUGUUGGCCUAUACCUCAUUUGAAUUCACGCAUCUUUAAAAUAAAAUCUGUGCCUGGCGCCGUGGCUCACGCCUGUAAUCCCAGCACUUUGGGAGGCCAAGGUGGGUGGAUCACCUGAGGUCGGGAGUUUGAGACUGGCCUGACCAAUAUGGAGAAACCCCGUCUCUACUAUAAAUACAGAAUUAGCCGGGCAUGGUGGCGCAUGCCUGUAAUCCCACCUACUCGGGAGGCUGAGGCAGGAGAAUCGUUUGAACCUAGGAGGCGGAGGUUGCAGUGAGCCGAGAAUGCGCCACUGCACUCCAGCCUGGGCAACAAGAGUGAAACUCCAUCUCAAAAUAAAAUAAAAUAAAAUAAAAUAAAAUAAAAUAAAAUAAAUCUUAUUUUUAUUUUUAAAAUAAAAUCUUUAUUUUAUAAUAAAAAAUUUAAAAUUUUUUAAAUGAAAAUUUUAAAUAAAACAUUUUUUAAAUAAAAAAUUUAAAGAAAAUAAAAAGAUUUCAUUUUCUUUAAAAUAAAAUCUGGCUGUCCAAUUGUUAUUUCUUCGGUUGCUUUUCAAGAAAGUGUGAAGUCAAAAAGUAAUUUUAAAAGGUAGGACUCUUCAAUCUGCUUGAACAACAACAACUAGAUAGUCUUAAAUAAGUUCCUUUUAUUUAUUCUUACGUUGGUAUUUUAAGUUAAAUAUUAUACCAAUAAGAAUAGCUAGUUACGAAACAGCAGGAAAUUCCACAUAUUUAUUUAAAAAAUAGACAUGUUUUUAAAAUCUCAUUAAUGACUUUGUAAAUUGUAAUACCUACCUUUGGUAAGGGUGCAAUGAAAUAAACACCCAUAGGUACUAGUGGACAUGGCAUAAACUGCUACUAUCUUUCAGAAAAGGCAAUUUCAUAAUAUACAUCAAAACCCUAACAUGUUUGACCCUUUGCUUCAGAAAUUGAACUUUUAGGAAUUUAGCCUGAUGGAAUGUAUAAUUAAAGAAAUGGACAAAUACUUGUGUGCAAAUGUGUUUGUCAUGACAUUAUCUGUAAUACAAAAAAGCUGGAAAAAACAUAAAUCUACAAUAACUGGGAAUUGGUUAAUGAAAUAGUAGGCUAUUCAUACAAUAGAUUGCCACAUAGGCAUCAAGAAAUAUCCUAUUUGAAAUUAGUAUAUACAAACAAAGAAAAAAUGUUAAGUUGUUAUCUCUCAGUCCAGAUGUCUUAUUUUCUUUACUCUUUUCUGUAUUUUCCAAAUUUCCUUCAGUGAACAUCUUCAGUUAAGAGGCCUUAAAAGUUCAUUUGCUAG